GAUGAACGCUAGCUACAGGCUUAACACAUGCAAGUCGAGGGGAAACGGCCUUAAGUGCUUGCACUUUUUGGACGCCGACCGGCGAACGGGUGGGUAAUGCGUAUCCAACCUUCCUAUGACUACGGGAUAACCUGUCAAAAGGCAGACUAAUACAUUAUGGUCUUCACUGACGGCAUACGAUGUGUAGUAAAGAUUCAUCGGUUAUGGACGGGGAUGCGUCUGAUUAGUUUGUGGGCGGGGUCACGGCCCACCAAGGCAACGAACAGUAGGGGUUCUGAGAGGAAGGUCCCCCACAUUGGAACUGAGACACGGUCCAAACUCCUACGGGAGGCAGCGGUGAGGAGUAUUGGGCAAUGGGCGAGAGCCUGAACCAGCCAAGUAGCGUGCAGGAUGACGGCCCUAUGGGUUGUAAACUGCUUUUGUAUGGGGAUAAAGUCAAUCACGUGUGAUUGUUUGCAGGUACCAUACGAAUAAGGACCGGCUAAUUCCGUG
rnacentral:rRNA from 1 species